GGAAUUAAGCACACUUUAGUGGGUCAUAACCAAAGAGUGAGGUUUUUUUAAAAACUGUCGCUCUAAAUACUGCCUGCGGGAAAGUCUGAGGAUUCACCAAAAAGCUACUAACGGUAGACUCCAUUAAUUUAAAUGGUCAUUAGUCAACAGAAAGAUCUCUUUUAGAUUGAAAUGGGCUAAUGGGGUGAUUAUCUAAAAUAGUCUAAUAAGUGUGAAUAGCCGAAAGGCUAUUAACUCAAUUCAGAUUACUCUUUUUCC
rnacentral:RNase_P_RNA from 2 species